rnacentral:rRNA from 1 species
UACGUAGGUGGCGAGCGUUGUCCGGAUUUACUGGGCGUAAAGAGCGCGCAGGCGGUCGUUCAAGUCGCGUGUGAAAGCCCCCGGCUCAACUGGGGAGGGUCACGCGAUACUGAUCGACUCGAAGGCAGGAGAGGGAAGUGGAAUUCCCGGUGUAGUGGUGAAAUGCGUAGAUAUCGGGAGGAACACCAGUGGCGAAGGCGGCCUGCUGGGCAGUGGCUGACACUGAGGCGCGACAGCGUGGGGAGCAAACAGG